rnacentral:rRNA from 1 species
UACGUAGGUGGCAAGCGUUGUCCGGAAUUACUGGGCGUAAAGGGCGCGUAGGCGGAUAUCUAAGUUGGGGGUGAAAUCCCGGGCUCAACCUCGGAAUUGCCUUCAAAACUGGGUAUCUUGAGUUCGGGAGAGGUGAGUGGAACUCCGAGUGUAGAGGUGAAAUUCGUAGAUAUUCGGAAGAACACCAGUGGCGAAGGCGACUCACUGGCCCGAUACUGACGCUGAGGCGCGAAAGCGUGGGAGCAACAGG